rnacentral:rRNA from 1 species
CAGUCGCCGCGGUAAUACGGAGGGAGCUAGCGUUGUUCGGAAUUACUGGGCGUAAAGCGCACGUAGGCGGUUAUUCAAGUCAGAGGUGAAAGCCCGGGGCUCAACCCCGGAACUGCCUUUGAAACUAGAUGACUGGAAUCUUGGAGAGGUCAGUGGAAUUCCGAGUGUAGAGGUGAAAUUCGUAGAUAUUCGGAAGAACACCAGUGGCGAAGGCGACUGACUGGACAAGUAUUGACGCUGAGGUGCGAAAGCGUGGGGAGCAAACAGGAUUAGAUACCCCAGUAGUCCCUGUCUCUUAUAC